GAUGAACGCUGGCGGCGUGCCUAAUACAUGCAAGUCGAGCGAACGGACGAGAAGCUUGCUUCUCUGAUGUUAGCGGCGGACGGGUGAGUAACACGUGGAUAACCUACCUAUAAGACUGGGAUAACUUCGGGAAACCGGAGCUAAUACCGGAUAAUAUUUUGAACCGCAUGGUUCAGAAGUGAAAGACGGUCUUGCUGUCACUUAUAGAUGGAUCCGCGCUGCAUUAGCUAGUUGGUAAGGUAACGGCUUACCAAGGCAACGAUGCAUAGCCGACCUGAGAGGGUGAUCGGCCACACUGGAACUGAGACACGGUCCAGACUCCUACGGGAGGCAGCAGUAGGAAAUCUUCCGCAAUGGGCGAAAGCCUGACGGAGCAACGCCGCGUGAGUGAUGAACGUCUUCGGAUCGUAAAACUCUGUUAUUAGGGAAGAACAUAUGUGUAAGUAACUGUGCACAUCUUGACGGUACCUAAUCAGAAAGCCACGGCUAACUACGUG
rnacentral:rRNA from 1 species